rnacentral:rRNA from 1 species
GACGGGGCCGCACAAGCGGUGGAGUAUGUGGUUUAAUUCGAUGCAACGCGAAGAACCUUACCUGGUCUUGACAUCCCGGAGACCCUUAGGAAACUAGGGGGUGCUUCCAUCUGGAAGAAUCUGGAGACAGGUGCUGCAUGGCUGUCGUCAGCUCGUGUCGUGAGAUGUUGGGUUAAGUCCCGCAACGAGCGCAACCCUUGCCUUUAGUUGCCAGCAGUUCGGCUGGGCACUCUAAAGGGACUGCCGGUGUUAAACCGGAGGAAGGUGGGGAUGACGUCAAGUCCUCAUGGCCUUUAUGACCAGGGCUACACACGUACUACAAUGGCCGAUACAAAGGGCAGCGACACUGCGAGGUGAAGCCAAUCCCGUAAAAUCGGUCUCAGUCCGGAUUGGAGUCUGCAACUCGACUCCAUGAAGUUGGAAUCGCUAGUAAUCGUGGAUCAGCAUGCCACGGUGAAUACGUUCCCGGGCCUU